rnacentral:rRNA from 1 species
AUUGAACGCUGGCGGCAGGCCUAACACAUGCAAGUCGAGCGAGCGGCGGACGGGUGAGUAAUGUAUGGGGACUGCCCGAUAGAGGGGGAUAACUCCUGGAAACGGUAGCUAAUACCGCAUACUAUCGGAUAACCCAUAUGGGAUUAGCUAGUUGGUGAGGUAAUGGCUCACCAAGGCGACGAUCCCUAGCUGGUCUGAGAGGAUGAUCAGCCACACUGGGACGGAGACAGGGCCCCGACUCCAACGGCGGGAGGCGUGGGGAAUAGUGCACAAUGGGCGCAAGCCUGAUGCAGGCAUGCCGCGCGUAUGAAGAAGGCCCUAGGGUUGUAAAGUACUUUCAGUCGGGAGGCGUUACCGACAGAAGAAGCACCGGCUAACUCCGUGCCAGCAGCCGCGGUAAUAC